GUCCAGGACCAUAUUGUCUUGAAGGUGUCCCAUGGCUUCUGAUCUUGGGAGAUAAGCAGGGUCAGGCCGGGUGAGUCCUUGGUUAGGAGGCCACCUGGGAGUGCCAGGUGCUGUAAGCU
ensembl:rRNA 5S_rRNA 5S ribosomal RNA